GUCCUUUUAUUGGUUCAUAAAAUCAUGGUGAUUGGAUGUUCAUACAUUUGUGUGACAUGUACCUCUCACAAACCUUGUUAUAAUGUUGGCACAUUACCUGUCUGAAG